UUGCUGAGAUGGUGAACAAGAUCCUUGCUUAUCUUGACCCCCCAAACAAGAUGUUGCAGUCUGAAGACAUGGACCUGCUGACAGGUUUGCAGCUCAUCAGGAGUGCAUGCUCCUGUCUUGAGAAGAUCCGCACUGAGACAGAAUUCCAGGCAAUCCUGACCCAGUGUGUCACAACAAGGCCAUCAAAGAGAUGAUGCACACAGAACUCUGCCCUUGCUGACUAUGUGGUUGAGAAAAUCAGCACACAUGCAGACUGCAAUGAUGAAACAGAGCUACGUAGGAUUUAUUACAGCUGCAUUGACUUAGUAUGUGGGGAAAUGAAAAAUCGCUUCGGGAAACAUAAUCAUGACCUGAUGGAGGCACUCAAUGCCCUGUAUCCUGUACAAGCCACAUUCUUGGAUGUGACCAAGGUGAAGCCUUUACUUGACCUGACCAAGACAGCUGCUGUGGAUUCUGAAUUCGAGGUGGCUCACAACUUCCUUGAGAAACAAAAGAUUCUUCUCCACCAGAUGAGGGGAAGUGGACAAUGAAACAGAUUCUGAAACAGUUCCAGAGGCCCCUGGAAGCAAUGCCCACUGUAUUCACUGCAUUUAAAAUUGGACUGACUUUUGGAGCCAGCACCGCAUUCUGUGAAAAUUCAUUUUCCACUCUUAAAAAUGUCUUCACAGAGCAUCGCCUAACUAUGCUUCAUCAGCGCAAGGCCAAUCUCACCCAGUUGGCAUUUGAGAAGGACUUGACUCGGAAAUUUAGGAACGAGUGGAAGGACAGGGGUUUAAGAAGGUUUCACACAGUCGUCAAACGCCGCCUGCCACUCUAUUGAAAGUGGUUAAAUCUUUGCUCCAUCCUUUCUCACACACACCUCACAGAUACUCCAGUGAUACUCCUGGUCAAUUUACUUUGCAUUACUUGCAGGCAGAAGGGUCAUGCUGCUUAGUUCUGCUCCUUGUGCUCCCUAGCUGCCGUAGCUACCUUCCCCAGCUUGAAUGUUUGAUCCAGUGUUCAGAUUUGACAUCAGUGCUUUUUUUUAAAAGAGAAGUGAAGCUGUAUGGUGCUGCUCUCUGUAUGACCCAGCCCCUGUUGCUGUUCCUGAGUUUUGAGUUAAUUAAAUGGGCCCAGCACUACAUUAUGGUAUUUUGUUUGUUUAUAUAUAUGUAUAUUUUAGGAUGAACUUUCCUUUUUCUAGU